CCCCGGUAAACGGCGGCCGUAACUAUAACGGUCCUAAGGUAGCGAAAUUCCUUGUCGGGUAAGUUCCGACCUGCACGAAUGGCGUAAUGAUGGCCAGGCUGUCUCCACCCGAGACUCAGUGAAAUUGAACUCGCUGUGAAGAUGCAGUGUACCCGCGGCAAGACGGAAAGACCCCGUGAACCUUUACUAUAGCUUGACACUGAACAUUGAGCCUUGAUGUGUAGGAUAGGUGGGAGGCUUUGAAGUGUGGACGCCAGUCUGCAUGGAGCCGACCUUGAAAUACCACCCUUUAAUGUUUGAUGUUCUAACGUGGACCCGUAAUCCGGGUUGCGGACAGUGUCUGGUGGGUAGUUUGACUGGGGCGGUCUCCUCCUAAAGAGUAACGGAGGAGCACGAAGGUUGGCUAAUCCUGGUCGGACAUCAGGAGGUUAGUGCAAUGGCAUAAGCCAGCUUGACUGCGAGCGUGACGGCGCGAGCAGGUGCGAAAGCAGGUCAUAGUGAUCCGGUGGUUCUGAAUGGAAGGGCCAUCGCUCAACGGAUAAAAGGUACUCCGGGGAUAACAGGCUGAUACCGCCCAAGAGUUCAUAUCGACGGCGGUGUUUGGCACCUCGAUGUCGGCUCAUCACAUCCUGG
rnacentral:rRNA from 1 species